GAGGAAGCGGUUGCGUCCCCGUGUUCAGUUCGGAACACAGAAUGCACGCCACACUUCAUGGAUCUCGCCCACUCCAGUCAGCAGUUUCUCCAAGUACCAGUCUCUUUUCAACAGCAGAGAUUUUGCCCUUCACCUUUGCCAGCUCUUUUGCUAAUGACUGGAUUCCACCGAACGAGUCGUCUGAACGGCUGUAGAGAGCUUCAGCCGGUCAUUCCAGCCUCAGUGACUGACAUCUCAGCUGUGAUGAAUUGUUCUGCUCAUCCC